GGGGAAUAUUGCACAAUGGACGAAAGUCUGAUGCAGCAACGCCGCGUGGAGGAUGACAUAUUUCGGUGCGUAAACUCCUUUUAUAUAGGAAGAUAAUGACGGUACUAUAUGAAUAAGCACCGGCUAACUCCGUGCCAGCAGCCGCGGUAAUACGGAGGGUGCAAGCGUUACUCGGAAUCACUGGGCGUAAAGAGCGUGUAGGCGGGUAUAUAAGUCAGAAGUGAAAUCCAAUAGCUUAACUAUUGAACUGCUUUUGAAACUGUAUACCUAGAAUGUGGGAGAGGUAGAUGGAAUUUCUGGUGUAGGGGUAAAAUCCGUAGAGAUCAGAAGGAAUACCGAUUGCGAAGGCGACCUAAUGGAACAUUAUUGACGCUGAGACGCGAAAGCGUGGGGAGCAAAC
rnacentral:rRNA from 1 species